UUUCCGUAGGUGAACCUGCGGAAGGAUCAUUACAGAGUUCAUGCCCUCACGGGUAGAUCUCCCACCCUUGAAUAUUUAUACCUUAGUUGCUUUGGCAGGCCGUGGAAACACCAUGGGCUCCGGCUUAUGCGUGCCUGCCAGAGGAAACAAACUCUGUCUUUAGUGAUGUCUGAGUACUAUAUAAUAGUUAAAACUUUCAACAACGGAUCUCUUGGUUCUG
rnacentral:misc_RNA from 1 species